rnacentral:rRNA from 1 species
GACGAACGCUGGCGGCGUGCUUAACACAUGCAAGUCGAACGGUGAAGGGGUCUGCUUUUGUGGGCCCUGGAUGAGUGGCGAACGGGUGAGUAACACGUGAGUAACCUGCCCCCUUCUUCUGGAUAACCGCAUGAAAGUGUGGCUAAUACGGGAUAUUCUGGGUCUGUCGCAUGAUGGGUCUGGGAAAGAUUGCGCCUUUGGGUGUUUUUGGUGGGGGAUGGGCUCGCGGCCUAUCAGCUUGUUGGUGGGGUGAUGGCCUACCAAGGCGGUGACGGGUAGCCGGCCUGAGAGGGUGGACGGUCACACUGGGACUGAGACACGGCCCAGACUCCUACGGGAGGCAGCAGUGGGGAAUAUUGCACAAUGGGCGCAAGCCUGAUGCAGCGACGCCGCGUGAGGGAUGGAGGCCUUCGGGUUGUAAACCUCUUUCGCCAGCGAAGCAGGCCUGCUCCUUGUGGGUGGGUUGACGGUAGCUGGAGAAGAAGCGCCGGCUAACUACGUG